UAGGGAAUAUUAGUAAUGGGCGAAAGCCUGAACUAGCAACGCCGCGUGUGCGAAGAAGGCCUUCGGGUUGUAAAGCACUUUUUGAGAGGAUGAGGAAGGACGGUACUCUCAGAAUAAGUCUCGGCUAACUACGUGCCAGCAGCCGCGGUAACACGUAGGAGGCAAACGUUAUCCGGAUUUACUGGGCGUAAAGCGCGUGUAGGUGGUUUGGUAAGUAGGGCGUGAAAGCUCCUGGCUCAACUGGGAGAGGCCGUUCUAAACUGCCGAACUAGAGGAUGGUAGAGGGAGGUGGAAUUCCGGGUGUAGCGGUGGAAUGCGCAGAUAUCCGGAGGAACACCAGUGGCGAAAGCGGCCUCCUGGACCAUUCCUGACACUCAGACGCGAAAG
rnacentral:rRNA from 1 species